GGCGCUACAGCCAAGUGGUUAGUUCAACGAACUUUGAGGCUGUUAUCUGUUCCUCUUUGAGGGCGCAGGUUUGAAUCCUGCUGGUGCCG